GCUGGGUGUGGUGGUGCAUGCCUAUAAUCCCAGGGGCUCAGGAGGCUGAGGCAAGAGGACUGUGAGUUCAAGGUCAGCUUCAGCAAUUUAUCAAGGCCCUGCAACUUAGCAAGAUUCUGUCUCAA
rnacentral:sRNA from 1 species